CCGUCGACUUUAAAAAUCGUGAGGGUUCAAGUCCCUCUAUCCCCAAAAAA
rnacentral:tRNA from 1 species